UCCACCAUGACAAUAAUGGACUAAAGUGCU
rnacentral:piRNA from 1 species